rnacentral:rRNA from 1 species
UGUGUUUUAUUUUUUAUAAAGAAUUUUUUAUAUAUAAUUAGGUAGAAUUUUUUUAUAUAGUAAAAACUUGUAGUUUAAAACAUAAAAAUUAUGGUAUUGGACCAGGAUUAGAUACCCUGUUACUCAUCAAUAGUUAAUUUUGGAAUAGUAAUAAUAAUGAAAUUUAACGGAUUUGGCGGCAAGAUAGCCAUUUAGAGGAACCUGCCCUAUAAACGAUGAACCACGAAAAACUUUGCUUUUACUUGUAACCAGUUUGUAUACCGCUGUUGUCAGUCAGUUUCUUUAGAAAACUUUCUUUUAUGAAAAAAUCAUCGACUUCAAGUAAAGGUGCAGCUUAUGUAAAAGAUAGAGGUGGGUUACAUUUAUAAGAAUAAAACAAAUGAAGUUCAUGAAAUAACUUUUGAAGGUGGAUUUAAUUGUAAAGUUUAAUAAGACUUGAUGAGAGCUCUAUCUUGUGUACACACCGCCCGUCGCUCUCUUUUUUAAAC